ensembl:lncRNA
CAUGGGCACAAGUGAUCCUACCACUUCGGCCUCCCAAGUAGCUGCGACUACUGAUUUGCACCACGACUCCUGGAUUUUUAAAAAAAUUCAUAGAGAUAGGGUCUCGUUAUAAUACCCAGCUGGGACUUGAACUCCUGGGCUCAAGCUGUCCUCCUGCCUCUGCCUCCCAAGUGCUGGGAUUUACAGGGAAAAAGAAGUCUCUUUGUAAAAGCGAAUGCAACAUUUCCGACUGUAGUGAAGCAUCGUUGGGAAGAGAACUCCCUUGGCUCGUGGAGCUUUGCUGUAAGUAUAUGACCAUUUACAGAGAGGUUUACUUGCUAAGAGGACCGAGCAUAUGAUCCAUGUUCUCCUCUAAGUAUUUAUGACAAAAAUUAAUUAAAGAUCUUAAAACUGGGAGAGACCUUGGGAGUCCAAGGUGGGCAGAUCACGAGGUCAGAAGUUUGAAACCAGCCUGACCAACAUGGUGAAACCCCACCUGUACUAAAAAUACAAAAAUUAGCCAGGUAUAGUAGCAGGAGCCUGUAAUCCCAGCUACUCAGGAGGCUGAGGCAGGAGAAUCGCUUGAACCCAGGAGGCGGAGGUUUCAGUGAGCCAAGAUCACACCAUUGCACUCCAGCCUGGGUGACAGAAUGAGACUACAUCCAAAAAAAAUGCAAAAAAUAAUUGGGAGGGGUCUUUGAUAUAUUCUAGGCAAGCCUCUAACUGUCCCUUGCAAAGGCACCACCUAAGAUAUUGAUGAAGGAAGAUCAGCUUGCUUCUUGAACAGAAAGACCGAACUGGGGCUUCAAAGCUGAUAUUUUCCAAACACUUUGGGUUUUGUAGAUCUGAACUGCAGAGAUUUCUCGAAGAACUUAAAUAGAACUACUAUUUAAUCCAGCAAUCCUACUACCUGGUAUCUGCCCAAAGGAAAAGAAAUCAUUCUAUUAGAAAGAUACCUGCACUUGUACGUUUAUCACAGCAGUAAUCCCAAAUGUGAAGAUGCAGAAUCAACCCGUGUCCAUGAAUGAAUGAAUGAAGAAAAUGUGGCAUAAAUAUAUAAUGGAUUAACUGUUAGGCCAUAAAAAAGAAAGAAAUCCUGUCAUUUGCAGCAACAUGGAUGACUAUGGAGGCCAUUACCUUAAAAUAAGCCCACUCCAGAAACACAAAUAUCUCGGGUUCUCACUCAUAUGUGAGAACUAAAAAGUUGAUCUCAUGGAAAUAGUGGACAGAACGGUGGUUACCAGAGGGUGGGAAGGGUGGGGCAAGGAAUGAGUAGAGGCUGGUGAAUGGGCACAAACGCUCAGUUAGAUGAAAGGAAUAAGCCGUGGUGUUCAAUAGCACAGUAGGGGGUCUAUAAAUAACAGUAAUUUAUUGCAUACUUCAGAAUAUCCAGAAGAUAAUAUCUGAAAUGAUUGUAACACAAAGAAAUGAUGUUUGAGGAGAUGAAUACUGUAUCCUGAUUUCAUCCACAUUUUAUCACAAUAUGGAAAUAUCAUAUGCAGCUCUCUUAAUAUGUGCAAUUACUAUGUAUCAAUAAAAAAGAAAUAAAGAAAAGUAGGAACUGGAAAGUUCGUCUCUGAAAUCUCUUGCAGGGUAGCUGUUCUGACUUUGACCUUUUCCGAGCAGAGAUCAGGUUAUGCUAUCUCAAAUAAUGUUUCCAGUUUUGCAAGCAAGUUCUAGUCAAGUCAGAGCCCAGAGGUCCUCUGGCACUGUCUGAUCUUUAGGGUAUAG